UGUGCCCUGAAUCAAGGCCGACAGUUUGCUGUAGCUGUUGGUUUCAAACAGUGGCCAAAAUCAACUCUUCAAACGGCUUGUUGACUUUCCCUGAACUUUGAAAAGGUGAAAGUGUGUUAAGUUGGAAGUGACAUUU